AUAAUGCAGGUUAGACCAGAGGAAGAGCGGAUUGCUAAUUUUCAAGACCAGCUUCUUCCCCUUAUCAUUGGAUUGCUUAGAACGGGAAAGCUACGUGCUGUGUUGAGAAUAUAACUUGAUACACUUGCUUCUGAAAUAAACUUCAGUCAAACUGGCAGUUGAGAAUAUGCAUUUGGAGUCGGAUUCUGUUUCUGGAGAUUGUGAGAUCACUUGCAUAUUGACCCUUCAUGAAAGUUUGAUUUCAGAUGAAAUAGCAUGUACACGCCUAAAGUGACAUCCACUAUCUUCUUUCGCUUUUGAUAAGCAUUUUAAAUUUCAUUAUUGGGAGUCGGUGUAUCCACUACAUAAGCCAACCAGCUUUGCUAGAAGUUCUUAGCUGUAAACUCUACCUUUUUGUUCUGAAUCUUCUGAUUACAUGCUAAAUAAUGAUUCAGGUGGAUGCUUACCACUAGGAACUAAGUUGAAAAGUCUGUCACCCGACGGCUUUUUUAAACUUUUGGAGGAAGUGUUCAUGAUUUUACAGGAGCUAAUAUUUUAAGAGAGAAUGCAGAAGCUCUAUUUGCAGCCUGUGAUGCUUCUUAUGGAAGAUGAUCAAAAAUUGUUGGAAUCUGUUCUAAAAUUCAUCCGAAAUUGAGGCUGCAGGAUUUUCUAAUUGUGUAUAACAUCAGUCAAGAAUUUAUAAGUUCAACAGAGAAGAUGGCAAAGAUGAAGGCUUUACUUGACCAAGAAAAUUGGAAUGAGAUAGAUGUGCCAGAUGAGUUUCAGACCAUUGUCACUUCAUUGUCUUCAGAUUCCAUGUCUGAUGGACGUAGAGAUGAAGCUCCUGGGACAUCUAACAGUUGAACAAUAUGAAGCAGUGAUGAUUACCUCGUGGCUGAUGCUGGACUUUCAAAUUUAUCUUAACACAUUGACUGCUUGAUUAUAACGGAAUGUCACCAGCUCAUGCACCAAACCCUGAUUCUUCGUACCUGAGUGGGGCAUCUGAGAGUGGUAAUAGUGAUGUUGGAACUUCUGGAACUUCUUGCAUUCACAGUAAUAACACUGAUAUGAGAGAACGAGGAAAAUCUUCCCUCCGAGUUCUUUAUUUUAAAGGUGUUGGAUAUCACUUGGUAAACUGAGCAUCCGAAGAGUCUCGGUAUCGACAUGUAUCCGACACGUGUCGGACGCGCUACCCUAAUUAGAGUAUCCGUGCUACAUAGCCUUGGUCACAUAAUCUGCUGGAAGAGUGCACUGCGCUACAUGUGGUAUUUCAAUCCUGCACUAACUCGCCUUAAAAAAAAAAAAAAAAAACUGCAUUAACUCAGCAUUAAGCAUUUUUCAAAAAUCAUUGAAUGCUUACCUUGGAAAUGUCUUGGAUGAUUAUUCUCGAAGCUUUUUCUAUUUUACUUUAUCUAGAUCUUAUUUGCUUGUUAAAUUAUACUAUAUGACUAAUAGCCUUAAGUGUACAAGCUGUUGUAAACUUUGAGGCACUUUGUUUUUGGUCUAUGAAUCCUUUUCCAUUUCAGUGAAAACAUGCAUGCAUUCAAGAAGCUGAAAAACAAAAUCUCAGACCUUAAAGAGAAAAGAGAUGAAAGAGUGCAGAAUUGUUUGUUAGCUUCUCAUUGCCUCAUUUAUCAACCUGGUUGCUUCCAAGUGAAACAAGCUUUUUUUUUUAUAAUAGUCUUUUUGUCUGAACUUCAAUUCCCAUUUUAGGAAACUCCUCCUUUAACUAUGGGUAUCUAUCGCAACUUUAAAUUCUUCCAAUUCACAAAGAGAAGCAAAAUAAGACAGUUUUUGUUAUGAAAUUACAUGGCAGAUAUUUCAAAUGAAAAAAUUUUAGUACUUGAAUGGUUAUUAGGACAAACUUAUGAGCAAACAUAUUCAUCUACCCAACAACUUCUAUUGAAUUAAAAUAUACAUUUCUCUCGUUAAUUCUUCACAUCAAACAUGCUAACAUUUGUUUGGUUGCUUGUACCGUACAAAAGUUGUUUGUUCGAGAGAGAACAAGAAAAACCUCUUCUGAUAAACCAAGGUUAGUAUCGUUUUAUCCUCCUUUUCAAGAUUUUGUUUUUUUGUUUUUUUUUGUUUUUGCUAUUUGUCCUCCUAUAUUCUCCAUUCACAAACUAUAAUCUUCUUCAAAAAAAUAGUUAUUUAUUUGUAUGAUAUGUAUAAAAAAAUGAUGACUCCUCUUAUAUAUUACUAUUAUGGAACUUAGCAAUAAGGCUACUUUAACAGUUCUUUGUCAAUGACAUUUGCAUUUUCCUUUUGUUGCCUUCCUUAUUCAAGAUUCAUAAUUCAAGAGAUUCCACAAGCUUUAAAAUAAGUUGUCUAUGCAAAUUAUUUAUUUCUAAAAAAGAUCUUUAAUCAUGUAGAAGAUAUCAUUUGUGGAAAACAAUGGAUAUUUGCCAUUAUCAUAGAUGACAUAAAAGUUGUCAAACAUAGCAGGAAUAAGAGCCCUUCAAAUUUUAUGCUGUAUUUGCAAAUCAUCUUGGUGAAACUUCACUUGUCAAAUUUCUUUUCUUUCAGCUUCCUGCUUACUCCAUGCUAUAGAUUUGUCUGUAUUGUCAAUUCUGUUGUUAAAUUGGAAAUUCGUAGCUCAGACCAGUACUUACCACCAUACCUCUGCCAUUGCCAACAAAUUACAAUCCCCAAUCCACAUCUGCAUUGUUACAGCAGGAAAAUCAUAAAGCAAGAAUACUGAAAUUCUUCAAGAGUUCAAUGUAUGUUGUUAAAAAAAGGGACAUAUCUCACUUAAAUAAAAGAAAAAAAAAUUGCUUUCCACCCACUUUCCAUCCUUUAAAGCCUUCAUCUUCAGUCAACAAGAAAAAGUUAAUUCCCCAAAACCUUUCCACUCUCCAUUUUCCAUUCCAUGCAGUUUCUCUCAUGCCAUAGCCUAAGCAAAUAUGCAGAUUGAUUCUAGAUCAUUACUUAACAGCUAUAAGUCAAGGCACAGGUCCAAAUACAAAGCUACUUUCAUAAUUCAAAUUCACAUAUAAUGAAAAUAUAAUUUGAUCUAGAGAUAGCACAUCAAUGUCUCAAUAAAAACCAGACUAUUGCUCAAAUAGAAUGAUAGUUUGUAGGAUAGAAUGUGAGUGGAAGUAAAUCUCCUCUAGAUGAUCACCUUUUAAUUCAAAGAUAGUCCAUCAAAUGCAGAUCCGAGGUCUUCUUUCUCAACUCUUUUGUGUAUUUAUACUAGGGAAGCAUGUUGGGUUCAAAAUGGUAACCUUAUUUGGUGUUGCUGAAUGCUUUUUAUAUGCAUUAUUUGUGGUUUCUUAUAAAUGUAGUCCAAUGAUUACUACUACUAUUCCUUCUCUGCAAUCAAAAAUCUACUGCUACAAAUACAUUGAACAAGAUUACUGCUACAAAUACAUUGAACAAGAUAGUUAUACGAUAUCAAGUUGUGUACUGUGGUCAACUAGAUAAAGAUGCUGUUUUGAACAACUGUAGCAAUGUCAUAAGCUCUAUUGAGAAAAUAGAAAAUGAUAUUGGAAAUGACUACAGAAGAGGUAUAUUUUUCUCCAGUUUCACCGUCUCAUUGUGAUAUGCUAAUUUGUUGUGUAUCAUAUCGAAUCACGUUGCAUUUAUGCUUGUGAAAUGUUGCUUGCAUUUUUCUUUUUAAGGAUACGAAAGUAAUACACCUGGCAGACAUUUUUUUAACUACUGCUGUUACCUUGCUUACCAUGGAAUAUUAGUAACUAGAGUCCAACUUCGUAUAGAUCUAUGUGAAGUCAAUAAAGAAGCUCUUGAGAAUUUUGGAAAGGGUAAGUAAACAAAUUCCUCGCUCUAUAUGUUCCCUACAUUUAUUUAUGAGAAGCUAAAAUAUAGCUGAAAUUAUGCCAACAAUUACAUUGAAAAAUAAGAUCCCCUUGUAUUCUAUUAGAAUAAUAUAGUUAUUUGGUUUUUUGAAAAAUUUGCUUCGCCUCGUGCUUCUUGUAAAUAAAUAGUAUCUCAAGAGACUAUAAUUUGAACUAAAUUAGAAUUAGUCCUAUUUUUUACUAAUUUAAAUUUGAUUGGAGUUCUUCAACUUUUGAUUGAAAUUUGGAAGAUCUAGAGGAAUUUUCGACUUUUUAAACUUGGUCAAUAACUAUACAAAAUCCUCAUUCAUUGUAGAUUGAAAAAAAAAGUGGUAUUUUUACCAAUUGCUGCUUCAUCAUGCCUUGAUGUUUGUCACUUUCAAGCUAAUUCUUGUAUAGGAGGUCUUCAUUCAAUAAUUAGCUAAUCAACUGGUUCAUUGUUUCAGUUGACCAGAUGGUGAUCAAAUUUAUGGAGUUUUGACAAUCAGCUGCUAGGUGCUUUGAGAAAACUCCCAUUUCAUCAGCAUCUUUCUUUGCAAAAUGUGAGAAAAAUUAUUUCGGAAAAUGAUAAUCAUCAGCUACUCUUGAUUGCUCGGGAACAAGGUUACCAACUUAUCAAGGGAUCAUCAGCUCAAACUUCUGUUGAUGUAAGCAGUUUUGAUAUACCUCUCCAGGAAGAUAACAAUUUUUUGGCAAAUCACCAGAAUGCCCACUAAGGCUCUUCACAUCACUACCAGGAAGUCGCCUUUUGGUUAUGGUUUUCACCAUAAGUCUAAUAAUAUGCUUCUCUUAACAUGUGAAUAUCCUUAAUGCUUGGCAAAAUGAUGCCGGAAUGCACAAAUUUUUGGAGCUAUGGUUUCUAUUGUUUUUAAUGGAUGUGUAGUAUAGGUUGGUUUAUCAAUUACUUGGGACUGGUUAUUGGUAUUUAAUUGCGUAGAUUUGUCAUCCGUAAUGCAAUAUUUUGACACGUUAACAUUA